rnacentral:rRNA from 1 species
CCUACGGGAGGCUGCAGUAAGGAAUCUUCGUCAAUGGGCGCGAGCCUGAACCAGCAAAGUAGCGUGAAGGAUGACUGCCCUACGGGUUGUAAACUUCUUUUGUAAUGGAAUAAAGUGAGGCACGUGUGCCUUUUUUUUUGUACUUUAUGAAUUAGGAUCGGCUAACUCCGUGCCAGCAGCCGCGGUAAUACGGAGGAUCCGAGCGUUGUCCGGAUUUAUUGGGUUUAAAGGGAGCGUAGAUGGGUUGUUAAGUCAGUUGUGAAAGUUUGCGGCUCAACCGGAAAAUUGCAAUUGAUACUGGCAGUCUUGAGUACAGUUGAGGUAGGCGGAAUUCGUGGUGUAGCGGUGAAAUGCUUAGAUAUCACGAAGAACUCCGAUGGCGAAGGCAGCUUACUAAUCUGCCACUGACACUGAUGCUCGAAAGUGUGGGUAUCAAACAGGAUUAGAUACCCGUGUAGUC